GGGUCAGUAGGUUGGUCGUGCCACCGGUACGUACUGGUCUCACUGAUUCCUCCUUCCUGAAGAACCGUAAUGCCAUUAAUUUGGUGUUGCGGGGAAACAGGACUGUUACUUUGAAAAAAUUAGAGUGUUUAAAGCAAGCUAACGUUUGAAUACAUUAGCAUGGAACAAUGGAAUAGGACGAUCGAUCCUAUUUUGUUGGUUUCUAGGAUUGACGUA
rnacentral:rRNA from 1 species